GACGAACGCUGGCGGCGUGCUUAACACAUGCAAGUCGAACGGAAAGGUCCUGCUUUUGUGGGGUGCUCGAGUGGCGAACGGGUGAGUAACACGUGAGUAACCUGCCCUUGACUUUGGGAUAACUUCAGGAAACUGGGGCUAAUACCGGAUAGGAGCUCCUGCUGCAUGGUGGGGGUUGGAAAGUUUCGGCGGUUGGGGAUGUACUCGCGGCUUAUCAGCUUGUUGGUGGGGUAGUGGCUUACCAAGGCUUUGACGGGUAGCCGGCCUGAGAGGGUGACCGGCCACAUUGGGACUGAGAUACGGCCCAGACUCCUACGGGAGGCAGCAGUGGGGAAUAUUGCACAAUGGGCGGAAGCCUGAUGCAGCAACGCCGCGUGCGGGAUGACGGCCUUCGGGUUGUAAACCGCUUUCGCCUGUGACGAAGCGUGAGUGACGGUAAUGGGUAAAGAAGCACCGGCUAACUACGUG
rnacentral:rRNA from 1 species